UGUUGAAAGGGAAGCGCUUAUGACCAGACUUUUUCCUGGCGGAUCAUCCGGUGUUCUCACCGGUGCACUUCGCUUGGUUUAGGCCAGCAUCGGUUUCCGUAGGGGGAUAAAAGCUUCGGUAAUGUGGCUCCUUCUGGAGUGUUAUAGACCGUUGUAUAAUACCCUUCUGGGGACCGAGGUUCGCGCUUCUGCAAGGAUGCUGGCAUAAUGGUCAUCAGCGACCCGUCUUGAAACACGGACCAAGGAGUCGAACAUUUGUGCGAGUGUUUGGGUGUUAAACCCUCACGCGUAAUGAAAGUGAACGGAGGUGAGAGCCUUUUAGGUGCAUCAUCGACCGAUCCUGAAGUUUACGGAUGGAUUUGAGUAAGAGCAUAACUGUUCGGACCCGAAAGAUGGUGAACUAUGCGUGGAUAGGGUGAAGCCAGAGGAAACUCUGGUGGAGGCUCGCAGCGGUUCUGACGUGCAAAUCGAUCGUCAAAUCUGCGCAUGGGGGCGAAAGACUAAUCGAACCAUUAAAACCAGCGGUAAAAAUUACUUUACUAGGUGGUUAAGAGGUGACCCGAGAGGGUUGCAAGAUACCUAGGUUGGGCCGGGCUACCCGGUACCUCUCAGCGGAGCUACUCAGUAGCAGAUGCUGAGGGGAGCUACCCGGUACCCUUAGCGGGGAUACCCGGGAGCACCAACCGACACCGCUAAAUUGCGGGGACAUCCUACAGAAGGCUCCAGGCUACCGCGGCACGCUGAAAAGCGCGUCCGCACCGAGAAUAGCGCUCUCGGGUACGGUAAUAACGCCUGGGGCUCGGGACGACCUGCAGCCAACCCCGCCAUGAAAAGGGGAGAGUUCACUGACUAUACAGCGGUGGGUUAGUGGCUACACUAGCCUAAGACAUAGUCGAUCGGGGCCCUGAAAAGGUGCCCGGCGUAA
rnacentral:rRNA from 1 species